AGCGCCUCCUGAAUCUUUCGGGCAGCAUGGAUCGGAAACGCCAUGGCUGAAUGUGGUCAAAUUCAAGGAAGCCUAAGUGAUGAAAAUUUCCAUCAUAGGGUAACCCUGAGCCAAGCCUUUCGGUGCCUCGCCGGAGGAAGGUGCAGAGACUAGCAGGUUGGUUUUGGGGCAAAUUUUUUUGAGGAUCUUGAAUGCUAACGUUUGUAGCGAAAGGUCAUCGCCAACCCAGCAUAACGGCCACCACCUACGGAAACUGUAGGGAUUUGGUAACCAAAUCCUGGGUUCUAGGGUGAAGAGAUAGUCCAGAGAGUUGGGGAAACCCACAC
rnacentral:ncRNA from 1 species